rnacentral:rRNA from 1 species
AACCGCUUUCAGUAGGGACGAAACCAGACGGUACCUACAGAAGAAGCCCCGGCCAACUACGUGCCAGCAGCCGCGGUAAUACGUAGGGGGCAAGCGUUGUCCGGAAUCAUUGGGCGUAAAGAGCUCGUAGGCGGCUCAGUUAGUCGGGUGUGAAACCUCCAGGCUCAACCUGGAGACGCCACUCGAUACUGCUGUGGCUAGAGUCCAGUAGAGGAGUGUGGAAUUCCCAGUGUAGCGGUGGAAUGCGCAGAUAUUGGGAGGAACACCAGCGGCGAAGGCGGCACUCUGGGCUGGUACUGACGCUGAGGAGCGAAAGCGUGGGUAGCAAACAGGAUUAGAUACCCUGGUAGUCCACGCCGUAAACGUUGGGCACUAGGUGUGGGACCUUUUCAACGGGUUCCGUGCCGUAGCUAACGCAUUAAGUGCCCCGCCUGGGGAGUACGGCCGCAAGGCUAAAACUCAAAGGAAUUGACGGGGGCUCGCACAAGCGGCGGAGCAUGUUGCUUAAUUCGAGGCAACGCGAAGAACCUUACCUGGGUUUGACAUGUAGGGAAAAGCCGUAGAGAUACGGUGUCCUUCGGGGUCCUACACAGGUGGUGCAUGGCUGUCCUCAGCUCGUG